UCUAAUAUGGCAGAUUAGUGCAUUGAAUUUAAGCUUCAAAAAUAAAUUUUAAUUUUGUUAGAA
rnacentral:tRNA from 1 species